GUGGGGAAUCUUCCGCAAUGGACGAAAGUCUGACGGAGCAACGCCGCGUGAGUGAAGAAGGUUUUCGGAUCGUAAAGCUCUUUCGUUAGGGACGAACGUGCUCUUUGUGAAUAAUGAGGAGUAAUGACGGUACCUAAAUAAGAAGCCACGGCUAACUACGUGCCAGCAGCCGCGGUAAUACGUAGGUGGCAAGCGUUGUCCGGAAUUAUUGGGCGUAAAGCGCGCGCAGGCGGGAUAUCAAGUCUGUCUUAAAAGUGCGAGGCUCAACCUCGUGAGGGGACAGAAACUGGUAUUCUUGAGUGUCGGAGAGGAAAGUGGAAUUCCAAGUGUAGCGGUGAAAUGCGUAGAGAUUUGGAAGAACACCAGUGGCGAAGGCGACUUUCUGGACGAUGUCUGACGCUGAGGCGCGAAAGCUAGGGGAGCGAACGGGAUUAGAUACCCCGGUAGUCC
rnacentral:rRNA from 1 species